rnacentral:tRNA from 2 species
GCACCCAUAGCUCAACUGGAUAGAGCGCUGGAUUUCGGCUCCAGAGGUUGAGGGUUCGACUCCUUCUGGGUGUACAA